rnacentral:misc_RNA from 1 species
GAUGAAGAACGUAGCGAAAUGCGAUACGUAAUGUGAAUUGCAGAAUUCAGUGAAUCAUCGAAUCUUUGAACGCAUAUUGCGCUCUUUGGUAUUCCGAAGAGCAUGCUUGUUUGAGUAUCAGUAAACACCUCAAAGCUUUUGGAUUUUUUAAUCGAAAAGCUUUGGACUUGAGCAAUCCCAACACCAAUCUUUUUGAGAUCGGUGGCGGGUUGCUUGAAAUGCAGGUGCAGCUGGACAUUCUCCUGAGCUAAAAGCAUAUUCAUUUAGUCCCGUCAAACGGAUUAUUACUUUUGCUGCAGCUAACAUAAAGGGAGUUUGACCGUAUUGGCUGACUGAUGCAGGAUUUCACAAGGGUCGGCAACGAUUCUUGUUAAACUCGAUCUCAAAUCAAGUAAGACUACCCGCUGAACUUAAGCAUAUCAAUAAGCGGAGGG